CCGAGGGAUCGAUCCCACCGCCGCCACUCACUUCCUCGGAUUCCAUGCCGAACCAAUCCCUGCAUCCCUCUCGAUCCAAAUCCUCCUCGUUUUCCUCUCCUGCCAGAUCCAACCAGCGCCUUGCCUCUUCUACGAACCGGGGAGCAGAGACCCAAGGCCGCCUCGAGCUCCAUCGCUGUGCUACGCCACCUCCUCCUGGGAUCCUUGCCGUUUCCCGCUCCCCGCGCUUUCCUUCUUGCCGGAGCCAAGCCACCGUUGCCGCCACGCAAUCCCCGUCGCUGCCUCGUCUGCUCGUUCUCGAAGACGUUGACCGAGCCAUCCCCAACCUCCAUGGAGCGCCGCCUGCUCCAGCCGAAGAUCCCUGCAGCCUCGCGCGGUCAAGGCCUCGAGCAGGAGCGCCGUUCCUGUCUCCUCGCGACCUUGAGCAUGACCUUGCUCGCGCCUCCUUUGGUUCCCGAGGCUGAGCCGCCCCGUGCUCGCAAUCCUGCAUCGCCUUCUCUCCGUGUUGCCUCGCCGGUCAUUGACGCUACCUCCGGAAAUCAUCCCUGAUGCCGGUCCUUGUCCACAGCACCUCGGCGCCGCCGCGCCCCGUUUUCGACCCGAUCUGGUCGAGAUGGGUCCGGCCUGCGUCAGAUCCCGGCGUCCCCAGCUUACCUGAUGCGCCGCCAAGCCCUCUCGCCGGCCUCCCAUGCUUCUGUGUGCGGGGACGACGACCAGAGACAAGCCCCUCGUCCCGCCUCUGCCCGUGUUGACCGCGCCAAGUCCCACGACCGACCGCACGCACCUGGGCUGCCUCAUCUUCGCCUGUUGACCGCGUCGAACGAGCUCGAUCCACCAGCGCCCGCGCCUGGGCCACCUCUGCUCCGGCCCAGCGGCUCCCCUCCGUCGCGUGAGGCCCAAAGCCCCAAGCUGGCCUCCUCUGCAGAUGGGCCAAGCCCAUGGUGAACGCCCUAGCGCCCAGCAAUUUUCGGCCCGGCUGUGUUUUUUCCUGUCCAUGCGAUUUUAGCCAAUUUCCAGGGAUCUGCAGUUUUUAUAGAAAAACCCUUGUACUUCAUGCAUAUAAUAACUUAAUAACCGUGCAUCGGUUUAAAAUGAUUUAUAUAUGAAACUUGUUUAGAGUUUUGUCUAGAUUCAUAAUAUCCAACUUUCAUCUAUGUUUGAAAUGUUUAAAAUGAUGUUUGCAUUAUUUUGCUCCUAUGCCAUGUUAAAAUGCUUUAAUUCAUAACUAAAUAACCGUAGCUCCAAACCUAAGAAACU